UAAAUUAUCAGCUUGUUUUCUAGUCUUGACAAAAUGACCCACAAAAGCAUAACAACUUUUUUAGGUUUGGAUUUGUAGGUUUUCCUUGUAAGCAUAAAAAGAUAGUCUUGGUUAUAGCAUAGAACAGGACCACUCCCCUUUCCCCUCCUAUUAUUCCAUGCCCAAAAAGACUUAUAACCCCACAUUACACACUCUGUCCAAAUCCCUUUUCACCAAUCUUACUUUCUAACUUUUCUUAUCAAUUAUCAUCCAACCUCAACUUUCUCUACUCAUGGCUUUGAUUUUCUUUUUUGUUAUCUUGUUCAACUGAAAAAUUAUUAUAGUAAUAAUAAUUGUAGCUAAUGGAGGGAGAUAAUUUUCUCUUAGAAUUGAGGUUCUUUAUCAACUUGUUAUGCAAAGAAACACUCUAUUUUCUCUCAGUUGUUUUUUCUGAUCCUCUAUUUUCAUGCAUUGUUACCUUAUGUGUCUUAAUUCUCAUCUAUUUGCCUCAUUCAUUCUGCAAAAUAGUUUUCUCGCCCGUUCCGAUUCUCUCCGCGAUUCUCUUGAUCAUUGUACUCCGUUUUGGUGCAAUUCAGAGAUCUAACAGUGAAGAAAAGGAAAAUUUGGUUGAAUCAGAAUCUGUUACAACUGAAGAAAACAGGGAAAACAGAGAUGAGAAACAGGGGAAAACAGGGGAAGAGGUGGAAAUCGAUUCUCUCGACCAAAUUCAAAGAUGGGUCUCGAGUAAUUCUGAAAUAAAGUUCGAAUUUCAAAUGGGUUUUGAAUCAAGUUCGUUUCUUGACGAGUCUUUCGUUGAAUGGAACGUGAAAGCGCCAUUGGAGGUUAUAUACGAAGGUGAAGAAACAGAGGAUAUUUCAAACGAGAAUCUUGUUACUGGAAUUUUGAGGUACCCUUCUUUAUCACGUUACUGUCCUGAAUCUGACUCUGAUAGUUCGUCGGAGAAUGAGUUUCCGGCGAUGGAGAAAUGGGACUCGCCGGAGAAUAUGUGUUAUAUGUGGGAUGAAGAAGACAGAGAUGGUUUAAUUGAGAUAGCUCUUGAUGGUUGUAAGAAUAAUGAUAAUGCAUUUGGAUAUCAGUUUGAGGAAGAGAAUAUGAUCGAGAUCGAUAUUUCUCCGACAAAGCGUAGAGAAUUUUCCGUAGAAUUGCUCAACCGCAUCUAUACAAUAUCAGACAAUACUUAUUGGGCAGCCUCCUCCAAUUUUAGGCCCCAAAAUUAGAGCAACAGUGGCACCUAAAACUUGAGCUGGUGAAGAGAAGCACUCAACGCAACAUGACCCUCGUUUUCAGUUUAGUUUGGGCUCCACCUCAUUAGAUGGAGACCGUAUAAUGAUCUAUCAAACAUGUAAUUGUCACAAAGGACAUAACCAAUCACUUCACAUGCCUUACAUUUCAACAAACUUGAUUUCAAAGUUCAAAGUUUGUUGUUCUUCACAUGCAAGAAGUUAGUGACCAACCAACAUUUUAAGAACAUAAUCCUACUUCGGUGAAAAACAAAAUAGUGUUUGGAAAGAAGUUUAAUUGGGAGCUGUAAGUAGUCAGCUUGAGCAGUUUUAUGGGGCAACCAUUUCUACGCCUAUGAUGUGGCACGAUGGUGACUAUCAUGGUGUGUUUUGAUUUGCAAUAAUGCAAGGGAAUAUAUAGGACAAGAAUAAUGUUGGAUGUUUAUUGUGAAAACGUACGGGUCAUGAGAUGAGACUGAACAAAAACCAAAAAUAUUAUCUUUUACUAAUAUAUAAACUAAUUUCUCUAAAUCAA